UGAGAUUUUUCUAACUUUGAUUGAUUCGAAUUUCUUUUAGGUUUUGAGAAAUUUUAUUCUUUGCACCAAAUACCAAUUGCGAAGAAGAUGUGGUGUAUGCAACUGGUGAAGCGUGCUAAUUACAAGGCCACAGUGAGAGAUCCUGGGACUCUUGGGGUUUUAACUAUGACGGAGAACAAGUUUGUGUUCAGGCCAAACGCGUCAACAGCGAAACAAGCGCUCGAUGUGGACUUUAAACAAAUUACAGGUCUAAAAAACACUAAGGAGGGAGGAGAUAGAUCACCUUGGCUUUAUCUCAGUGAAAAGGACAAAACUUACAUCUUUGAGUUUGCAAGUUUUCGUGAUCUUCAUGUAUGCCGAGAGUUUGUAGCCAAUGCCGCUGCUAAGCGUGGAGAAGCUGCAAAACCUACUUCUUCUGAUGAACAAAUCAGUAGAGCAGAAAUAAUGCACCGUAUGAAGCUAUUACAAGAAAACAGUGAAUUGCAGAAACUUCAUAUGCAGUAUGUAAUGCGUGGUGUCUUAACAGAAGCUGAGUUAUGGGAAGCUAGGAAGAAGUUUGGUGAUGUAGAUAGCCGUCCAAAGCCCAAGCAACGGGCUGGUUUCAGAAGCUCAAUGAUAAUGGACACCAAACCCAUGACGGAUGGUCGAACGAACAAGGUUCCUUUCAGUUUGACAGCAGAGAUUAAGUAUCAGAUCUUUGCCCUGAAACCAGCUGUUCAUCAGGCAUUUCUUGCUCUGGUUCCCAGUAAGACGACGGAGAAAGACUUCUGGACAAAGUAUUUUCGAGCUGAAUACCUCCAAAGCACAGGGAAUGCUGCUGCAAUUGAAGCAGAAGCCGCCGAUGAUGAGGAAUUGGCAAUGCUUUUGGAGGAUGAUGAGGUAUUGGCGAGGGAAGCUCGUAGAAAGCUUCGACGAGUCGAUCCAACUUUGGACAUGGAAGCUGACCAAGGAGACGAUUAUACGCACCUUCCAGAUCAUGGGAUAAUAUUCUUUCGGGAUGUGGUGUACAAGAGGAGGGGGACUUUAUCACAAGACCUUAACCGGCAAGGCGCUGUUGUUCUUCAAGGAAGAAGCAUCGUUGAAGUUGAUUUAGAAGAUCCGUCAAGUGUUGCAGAGGCAUUUAAUAUAAUGCGGUCCAGAGAGGAGGAGGUUGAUAAGAGUGGUGUGCAGGAGAGAUUUGGUAGGAUUGCUCGGACGACUGAGAUGGAGGAUGUUCAAGAACCGCACCAUCUUCCUGUUGCUCAAUUAUUAUGUAUGAAGGAUCCUCGAGACUACUUUGACACGCAACAAGCUACUAAUAAUGCAGUUAAAACUGAGGAAGCUUAUGGCGCCUUGAGGAAGUCUAUAUCUACAAUCAAGAGCAUUGGAUUGGGAAAUUCCACAGUUGCACCAGAAAUUGCUCUUACGGUUUUUAAUGGACUUCCGGCACCACCAACACCAUGUCAGUGUUAAUUACCCUACUCUCCUCAUGCAUGGAGAACAGAAUUCUAUACGUUGAAAAGAAGAAAGAAGCUGAAAAGCUAUAUGUUGUUAGGAGGUUUCAGUUAAAUGGAGGACGAAGGCUACUUUAUUUCUGGACCACUUUAGUUUUUCCCAAAUAUAGUUUGUCUUUGUUGUUUGUUUGCAUUAUUGUUGUAUAAUUGAAGUCAAACAAUGCACAACUUUCAAAAACUAUACACUAUGGUUGGGGCUUGAGGCUAAAAGUCAAAACAAUAUAUCUAACCCAUAGAUUACACUAUGGUUGAGGAAUAUUCUGAAUGCUUGUAACAAAAAUGCUAAUGGCAAAAGCACUAUCAAAUUAGUCAAAAUGCAAACAAACGAAGCACUAUCAUAUUAGUUGGUGUCAAAUUUAGCGGAACAAGCUAGUAUCUCAAAUUUGGUGUAGUGAGUUGGUAUUCAGUAGUAUUAUUGCACAAUGUAUCAUUAAGUUCAUCAGCAUUACUGGUUGGUGGAGAGGUCACAGUGGAUUAGUUGGAAAGGGAAUACUAGCAACCUUCUUUGGGAAUGGAAUCUUUUACUUAAUUAAUUAGAAUGAAUGCCACAUAGGACAUCACAAGCCAAUCAUAGAAGGCCAUUUUGUCGUUGGCCAAAACUUUCCCUUAUCUUUGGCCACUGAUUUCCCAUCACAAAAAAUCCUUCUGAUCCAUGAACCAAAAAACAGUCAAAACACUCAACUCCUGCCACUGACACUGUGAGAGGAUGGCAAAGAUGGCAGUGGAGAUGGCCAUCAGGGCUUCAGCUACCCCAAGACCUUCCCUGCCUCCUUCUCCUUCUCCUUCGCUAUCAGCCACAACCAAAUGUUCUCUCAAACCCAAAUUCAGACCCACCUCUGCAUCACUGCCAACAUCAACCACCAUCUCUCUCUUGGCCCUCUUCACCUCUCCCUUUGAAGCCCAGGCUUUUAGCCUCUCCAAAGAUCAGAUAGUCUCUUCCCUUACUGAAGUGGAGCAGACAAUUGAUCAGGUUCAGCAAGCGGGUUCGACUGUUUUUGAAGGAACAGAGCGGGUUCUUGAAGCUAUUUUAAAUGCAGUAAAGCCCGGCAUUGAUGUGGCAUUGCCGAUUGCGAAGCAGGCUGGAGA